UACGUAGGGGGCUAGCGUUGUCCGGAAUCAUUGGGCGUAAAGAGCGUGUAGGCGGUCCGGUAAGUCCGCUGUGAAAGUCGGGGGCUCAACCCUCGAAUGCCGGUGGAUACUGUCGGGCUAGAGUGCGGAAGAGGCGAAUGGAAUCCCUGGUGUAGCGGUGAAAUGCGCAGAUAUCAGGAGGAACACCAAUUGCGAAGGCAGCUCGCUGGGACGUAACUGACGCUGAGACGCGAAAGCGUGGGGAGCAAACAGG
rnacentral:rRNA from 1 species